rnacentral:rRNA from 1 species
AGCUAUAUGAUAUAUUAUAUAGUUGUUUUCUGCUCCAUGAUCAUUAAAUAGCCGCAGUACCUUGACUGUGCUAAGGUAGCAUAAUCAGUUGGCUCUUAAUUAGGGUCUAGAAUGAACGAAAGUAUGGGCAAUAUCUGUCUUUGUUGUAUUUAUACUAAGUUUGUUAGUAAGUGCAAAUACUUACAAUGAUAUAAAAGACGAGAAGACCCUAGAAACUUGAAAAGACGUUUUGUUGGGGCGACAAAAUUACAUAAAACUAAUUUUAUUAUACUUGAUGUAGUAAAGUAAGAGUAAGUUACUCUAGGGAUAACAGCAUAAUUUUAACAGUUUGUGACCUCGAUGUUGGACUAGGUAUGGUAUUCUUUAGAUAAGAGUGCUAUCUGCUCUGUUCGAGCAAUGACACCUACAU